UUGAAAGAAAGGCGGAGUAUAAACUAAUGGAUAGGUUUUUUCCACUCAUUGGUACAAACUCCAAAACUUCUUCCAAAUUCGACCUCAAAUCAGGUAGGACUACCCGCUGAACUUAAGCAUAUCAAUAAGCCGGAGGAAAAGAAACCAACAGGAUUGCCUUAGUAGCGGCGAGUGAAGCGGCAAAAGCUCAAAUUUGAAAUCUGGCACUUUCAGUGUCCGAGUUGUAAUUUGAAGAAGGUAUCUUUGGGUCUGGCUCUUGUCUAUGUUUCUUGGAACAGAACGUCACAGAGGGUGAGAAUCCCGUGCGAUGAGAUGUCCCAGACCUAUGUAAAGUUCCUUCGAAGAGUCGAGUUGUUUGGGAAUGCAGCUCUAAGUGGGUGGUAAAUUCCAUCUAAAGCUAAAUAUUGGCGAGAGACCGAUAGCGAACAAGUACAGUGAUGGAAAGAUGAAAAGAACUUUGAAAAGAGAGUGAAAAAGUACGUGAAAUUGUUGAAAGGGAAGGGCUUGAGAUCAGACUUGGUAUUUUGUAUGUUACUCUCUCGGGGGUGGCCUCUACAGUUUACCGGGCCAGCAUCAGUUUGAGCGGUAGGAUAAGUGCAAAGAAAUGUGGCACUGCUUCGGUAGUGUGUUAUAGUCUUUGUCGAUACUGCCAGCUUAGACUGAGGACUGCGGCUUCGGCCUAGGAUGUUGGCAUAAUGAUCUUAAGUCGCCCGUCUUGAAACACGGACCAAGGAGUCUAACGUCUAUGCGAGUGUUUGGGUGUAAAACCCGUACGCGUAAUGAAAGUGAACGUAGGUAGGACCUCCCUUUAGGAG
rnacentral:rRNA from 1 species